UGGGGUGUAAGCUCAGUGGUAGAGUUCAUGCCUAGAAUGCAUGAGGCUCUGGGUUCAAUUCCCAGUAUCUUAG